CAUUAAGGAGAGGGUCGGGAGAUGGUGACCGUGCUUCACAAAAGAAACUGUCAGGUGGAGUUGCAGGAAUUCAUUGAGGACUCGGAAAUUGUGGGACACAACACGAAGGAUUACUGGUGCUUUCUGAAGGAAAAGCUGCGCAGGGGCUGGGCAGUGAAAGUCCUUCGGUGCAGAGACCCCCCACCCGGCUGGAAAUGACUCUUCCUGCAGGUGCAGCGGCUCUGCCUGGCUGCGGCUCUGCCCGGCCCAGUAAAGCUGCCCCCGAUCUGCUGAGAGGCUCCCAGCGCCGUCCCAGUCCCGGGUGCAGAACACUUCCUGUGCUGCAGCACAACGAAAGGGUGUGAGGAAAACUGCCUCUGCAAGGAGAACAUCAGCCCUUCUCCGUUCCCCCUGACCAUUCCGUGUGCUCCGCUCAGGACUCGUGAGGCUCAGUGGAGAUGUGCCGGUGAGUACAGCCAAGUAAGGGGAAGGAGAUUUGCCUUAGUAAGUGCUGGGUGGGAAAGUCAUCCUUGGCUCCUCAGCUGGCAAUGGUCACAAACAGCUUCACUGCAAAACCAGAAGGAACACAAUUGUAUAUUUUUCCGUUAAGAAGACUUAGAAGUCAGAUGAGUUGGAAAAAAGGGAAAGGAAAGCUCUGUAGAUUUGGUAAGUGAAAACAAAAGGAGGGGAUAGAGUAAUGUAGAAUCACAGCUCUUCCUCAGUGUGGCAGCAGCAUCUGUUCAAAAAUGCAGGACACUUAGAACUGGUGAGGAGCUCCAAAACGCUGGCUGAGCUGCACAGCUGGGCUGUACCAGCGAGGUGAUGGCUUCAGUCUGCUGGGAUAAAGUCUCCCAGUAGGUGCUGAAGCACCAGUGCUGAUGGACCCAGUUUCUUGCCCUUCUCCCUUUCCCCUGCUCUUUCUCCAGUGCUUGCCAGUUAUGUCAAAACUCACGCUCGGUCCUCUGAGGCCCCCGUUGGUUUUGACCAGUGUUACAAACCACCUGGUGAUGGUCAUUAGAUGAUAGCAGUCACCAUUGGAGGUGAACACAAGGUGAGAUAAAAACUGAACAAAACCACAGCAUUGUUCUUUUUAAACUGCAAAUUCAAGCCCAAGGUGUGAACAUCAUAACCUUCAACUAAUAAAUGUGCAGACAAAUCUUUCGGAUGCGCUGCAAGAGCUUUUUUGAAGACAUAACCACAAGCCACGUGAGUCAGAUGUAGUGAUUGCUCAGGUGUGGGCUGCCCCGGCUCUGUGUCUGUUCAAAACCAAAGCAGAGCGUUGCGUGAAGAGCACUGUUCUUUUUUUCACUGCCCAACUUUUCUUUCUGAGGCUCUCCCGGUGUCUCGGCUCACAGGACAGUAUGGCCAAAAGGACUUUCCCUUCUUCCUAUGGCUUCUGCUUUUGGUGGAGAUCUCUUUUUCUCUCAUAGAAAUUAAGCUGCUCAUUUCUGCAUGACGUGAUUUGGGUGGCAGAGGUCAGGAUGGGGAGGAAGGAAGGAAUAUAACCAAAGGAAAUAACCCCCUUUCCUAAUACUCGUGAGGCUCUGAGGCUCAGCUACCACUGGCGUGAAGCAUCUCAGCUGGGUGAGCUGCCUACAUUGCUGUCUUAAGUAAACAGCAGAAUAGCCAAGCAGAAAUCAUUCCCCAGAUGUUACAAAGCGCUCUAAAAUCUGUUUGAAACUAUCUAAAUACUUCACACUUCUUAUAAAUUCAUAUCUUGAUCCCAGAAGAGGAUCCAGUGCGCUCACCACGGACUGAUAAGCAUUUAGAACAGUUAAAUUACUCAGAAAUAUUUAACUAUCGUACAAAUACGUGUGAAGCGUCGGCACUCCCCAGCAUAAACCCAAUGCAAAGGUCUCUGCCUAUUUCAUGGUGUUUUGAUUCACCUGUUUAAUAGGGAGGGUUAUUUUUUAACCUCUCCCAUUCCAAACAGGACUUCAGUUUUUAGUGUAACAGAGUGGAGGAAAAGAAAUCUUAACGUGGGGGCAUGCGGUCACCUGCACAGUGAGAGGGAUUGAAAAGGGAAAUGGAUCGUCUGCCUUCUGGAUCCGUUUGUCUUCAGUUCUUGUUUGAAUUCCUCUUAAAUCAGUUUCUGCAUGGCAGUAAUACUCGGGAAUGCUGCAGAGUGGGAUCGGAACCGACCUCCUUUUGCAGCAGGGAGAGAUUCUUGAAACUGUUAUUCCUUAAGUCAUGUCUUUUCCCUUCCUUUCGCCUUUCCUGUUGUGCUCUGCCUUCUGACGAGUGCGACAUCGACAGGAAGAGGGAAGGAGCCAGGUUUGUCUCUCGGCUGCUGGUGUGCUUCGUGCAUCUGUGAAGAGGCAGAGCCACAGCAUAAAGCUGACGGAAAGCCGUGGAGGUACCUCUCUGAAAAAUGUAAUGGACUGUGCUGAAGCCUAACUUUGACUGAUGUGAGGUUUGGGACUUUAUCCAGGUAAGAAUUCAUGCAGCAGUGAGCACAGAUAAGGCAGAUGACCCAGAGUAGGGCCAAACUGUUUACCAGCAGAUGUGUUUUUGAAAAUCUUCCUUAACUGGUCAUGGCAGCGGAAAAUACCCUGCUGUUAAACGCAUCUGCAAUCCACUGCGCUCCCAAUCCACCUACAAAAAUUCUGACCUUUAAAGAAAUGAUGGAGAAGCUGGUGAUUUUUUCCAUGGCAUUGAAGCUCAGUCUAUUUUAGGCUCCAAGGCAAUUGCAGCCCUUUUUGCUCCCUAUUUCACAUCACUUUUAAGUCUUGUUCUGGCCACUAUGAACCCUUCAGCACUUCUCCCUGUGCAAUCACUCGAGUCAAGAUCUGUGAUUUGUGAUUUGCAGAUGACAUGUACAUUUCUUGGCUGAUGGCUGCUAAAGCAGUUUGCAA